rnacentral:rRNA from 1 species
CCUACGGGAGACAGCAGUGAGGAAUAUUGGUCAAUGGACGAGAGUCUGAACCAGCCAAGUAGCGUGAAGGAUGACUGCCCUAUGGGUUGUAAACUUCUUUUAUAUGGAAAUAAAAUGUUCCACGUGUGGGAUUUUGUAUGUACCAUAUGAAUAAGGAUCGGCUAACUCCGUGCCAGCAGCCGCGGUAAUACGGAGGAUCCGAGCGUUAUCCGGAUUUAUUGGGUUUAAAGGGAGCGUAGGUGGAUUGUUAAGUCAGUUGUGAAAGUUUGCGGCUCAACCGUAAAAUUGCAGUUGAAACUGGCAGUCUUGAGUACAGUAGAGGUGGGCGGAAUUCGUGGUGUAGCGGUGAAAUGCUUAGAUAUCACGAAGAACUCCGAUUGCGAAGGCAGUUCACUGGACUGCAACUGACACUGAGGCUCGAAAGUGUGGGUAUCAAACAGGAUUAGAUACCCGUGUAGUC